rnacentral:rRNA from 1 species
GUGGGGAAUAUUGCGCAAUGGGCGAAAGCCUGACGCAGCGACGCCGCGUGAGGGAUGAAGGUCUUCGGAUCGUAAACCUCUGUCAGAAGGGAAAAAUGUACAGUGCUCCAAUCAACAUUGUAUUGAUGGUACCUUCAGAGGAAGCACCGGCUAACUCCGUGCCAGCAGCCGCGGUAAUACGGAGGGUGCAAGCGUUAAUCGGAAUUACUGGGCGUAAAGCGCGCGUAGGUUGUUUUGUAAGUCAGAGGUGUAAUCCCACGGCUUAACCGUGGAACUGCCUUUGAUACUGCAUAACUUGGAUCCGGGAGAGGACAGCGGAAUUCCAGGUGUAGGAGUGAAAUCCGUAGAUAUCUGGAAGAACAUCAGUGGCGAAGGCGGCUGUCUGGACCGGUAUUGACGCUGAGGCGCGAAAGCGUGGGUAGCAAACAGGA